GGAUACUUGUAGUGUACUGUUAGUUAUUUCUUUAUUCAUUUUUAUUAAGUAAAGAACGAAACAAGCAGAGAGCAAAGAUUGUUAUGAGUGUUGAUGCAUUGAAUGACAAUGAAUUAAAGAAUUUGAAGAACUCCAAAAUUCAUGUUGUUUUAAAGACAACGCAAAUUUUGAGUCGUGUAACGUAGUUACCUCAUAUGUUAGGCAGGUUUCUGGAAAUGGUUCUUCGGUAUUCAUUUUCCAAUGGGAAAAUUGAAGUUGUAAUGUAAUGUGUCCACUAGCUUUUGAUCUCAAUUCCUUAGCUAAACCAAAAGAUUCCGACAUCGGGAUGAAAACGUUUACAUUGAAGAUAAUACAGAAUAUGCUUUCCCUAAAACUCCUUGAUCGCAUACAAGCUCUACUUGAAUGAUUCAGGAUCAACUUCUCAUUUCUGUUUUCACAAAGAAAACUUAAUUACCUAGAUGUAGCAUAGCCUCAAAAAUACGU